AACGAACGCUGGCGGCAGGCUUAACACAUGCAAGUCGAACGCAUCCUUCGGGGUGAGUGGCAGACGGGUGAGUAACGUGUGGGAACGUGCCCUUCAGUUCGGGAUAACCCAGGGAAACUUGGGCUAAUACCGGAUACGUGCGAGAGCAGAAAGAUUUAUCGCGGAAGGAUCGGCCCGCGUCUGAUUAGCUAGUUGGUGGGGUAAUGGCCCACCAAGGCGACGAUCAGUAGCUGGUCUGAGAGGAUGAUCAGCCACAUUGGGACUGAGACACGGCCCAAACUCCUACGGGAGGCGGCAGUGGGGAAUAUUGGACAAUGGGCGCAAGCCUGAUCCAGCCAUGCCGCGUGAGUGAUGAAGGCCUUAGGGUUGUAAAGCUCUUUCGUCCGGGACGAUAAUGACGGUACCGGAAGAAGAAGCCCCGGCUAACUUCGUGCCAGCCGCCGCUGUAA
rnacentral:rRNA from 1 species